UCUGCUGUGGCCGUUGGCCGUUGCUCAUCUAGAGAAGAGGUUGGCCUCACCUGCCAGGGUCCCCUCAGUGCGUUUUCUCCACAUCGUGGUCCCAUAACUCUUCUCUCACUUGAUAUCUGUUCAAUGUGGUCAAUGUGAUUUUAUUUUUUAAGUUGACUGAUUUAUCUUGAGAGAGAGAGGGAGAGAAGGGGAGGGACUGAGAGAGGGAGAGAGAGAAUCCCAAGCCGAUCCCACGGUCGAAGCAGAGCCAGACACGGGGCUCAAUCUCACGAGCCGUGAGAUCAUGCCCUGAGCUGAAAUCAGGUCAGAUGCUUACCUGACUGAGACGCCCCAGUCUCAGUGAUUUUAAAAUGUUUUGCCCUGCCUUUCCGGUUGUUUCUGAUAGGAUGUUAGUCUACAUCAUCCGGCUCCUCGUAACCGGAAGCAAACUCAUGCUGCUCUGUAGGGUUCUUUUCAUGCUUGGUGUGGCCUUCUCCGUGUCGCCUAGUGCAGCACCCUCCUGCCGGGGAGGCUCCCUCCACGCGGUCGGGGAACUUGCCCGAUUCCUUUGCUGGUGUUUGAGGGACGGACCCUCCGCAGAACUCAGACUCCGCUUGCAACCCGAGCCCAGGAAGGCCGCCGUGAUCUCGCACAGAAGCCAGCACCCCCUCAACAUGCGGCACCCGCCCCCCAACUCCACUUUCCUCUGGCAUCGGAUCCUGUCUACACCCAACUGA
rnacentral:lncRNA from 1 species